rnacentral:rRNA from 1 species
AAUAUUGCACAAUGGGCGCAAGCCUGAUGCAGCCAUGCCGCGUGUAUGAAGAAGGCCUUCGGGUUGUAAAGUACUUUCAGCAGUGAGGAAGGUGGGUUAUGUUAAUAGCAUAUUCAUUUGACGUUAGCUGCAGAAGAAGCACCGGCUAACUCCGUGCCAGCAGCCGCGGUAAUACGGAGGGUGCGAGCGUUAAUCGGAAUUACUGGGCGUAAAGCGCAUGCAGGUGGUUUGUUAAGUCAGAUGUGAAAGCCCCGGGGCUCAACCUCGGAAUUGCAUUUGAAACUGGCAAACUAGAGUACUGUAGAGGGGGUAGAAUUUCAGGUGUAGCGGUGAAAUGCGUAGAGAUCUGAAGGAAUACCGGUGGCGAAGGCGGCCCCCUGGACAGAUACUGACACUCAGAUGCGAAAGCGUGGGGAGCAAACAGGAUUAGAUACCCUGGUAG